ensembl:lncRNA
ACACACACACACACACACACACACACAUAUAUAAUAUAUAGUUGGUGUGAGGGUUUGGACGGUGUGAUUGGACGGUGUGAGGGGUUUAGUUAGUGUGAGGGAUUUAGUUAGUGUGAGGGGUUUAGUUAGUGUGAGGGUCUGGACAGUGUGAUUGGAUGGUGUGAGGGGUUUAGUUAGUGUGAGGGUCUGGACAGUGUGAUUGGACGGUGUGAGGGGAUUAGUUGGUGUGAGGGUCUGGACUGUUGUGAGGGUCUGGACAGUGUGAUUGGACGGCGUGAGGGGAUUAGUUGGUGUGAGGGUCUGGACAGUGUGAUUGGACGGUGUGAGGGGAUAAGUUAGUGUGAGGGUCUGGACAGUGUGAUUGGAUGGUGUGAGGGGAUUAGUUAGUGUGAGGGUCUGGACAGUGUGAUUGGACCUUGUGAGGGGAUUAGUUGGUGUGAGGGUGUGGACGGUGUGAUUGGACGGCGUGAGGGGAUUAGUUGGUGUGAGGGUCUGGACAGUGUGAUUGGACGGCGUGAGGGGAUUAGUUGGUGUGAGGGUCUGGACAGUGUGAUUGGACGGUGUGAGGGGUUUAGUUAGUGUGAGGGUCUGGACAGUGUGAUUGGAUGGUGUGAGGGGAUUAGUUGGUGUGAGGGUGUGGACGGUGUGAUUGGACGGCGUGAGGGGAUUAGUUAGUGUGAGGGUCUGGACAGUGUGAUUGGACGGUGUGAGGGGAUUAGUUGGUGUGAGGGUGUGGACGGUGUGAGGGGAUAAGUUAGUGUGAGGGUCUGGACAGUGUGAUUGGAUGGUGUGAGGGGAUUAGUUGGUGUGAGGGUGUGGACGGUGUGAUUGGACGGCGUGAGGGGAUUAGUUAGUGUGAGGGUCUGGUCUCUGUGAGGGGUUUAAUAAUUUGGUAAAGGAAAAGGUGGAAUGUUAAGACCGUUCUUGUUUUGCACCUUAUGAAAGAGAAGACGUGUCUGUAAACUGUGUGUAGCAGCGUAUCUGCGUAACGGUUACGGGUUUGUUUACCGCAGUAUGUCACCGUGCUGUAAUUCACCCUGUCAGUGUUUCAUGCACACGGAAGGCGCGCUGGAAGACGAGCUGCGCCUCAGAGUGAAAACGCCCGCCACGCCCGAUGUUUACUAACGGCUCGCUCUACCCUCAGGUUUCGCACGGAUUAAAGUCUCAAACCAGAACCUCUUCCCCGACCAGAACCCGGACCAGUGCUGUAGAAGUUCCCGUAAUCCGGCGGGUUGUUGCGUCGACCUUUCAGUGAACUGGGAUUACACCGUGCUUUAACGGCUGCGUAUAAAAGUCCGAGUCCACUCCGCACCUCGUUCCCUCAGUGAUGCGAGAUAAAUACAGCUUUGUGUAGAUCUGUUUGUUCAGAAUGCUUGUCCCCACACGCUCCACGCAGAGGGGGGAACCGACUCCAUCACGGGUUUAGCUGGAAGGAGACGACGGUUAGCGCCGGGUGUGUAGAUGUGGAACUGGCUGAUUGCCUAGAGCUUUGUGACGGAGCAGAAACGAUCGACGAGGCGAGACGAGACGAGCAGGCCCGCUAUCACGAAAUCCUUCCCGUCUCUCCGAGCCCAUGCACAGUUUAGAUCGGGGGCGUUCAGGUGAAAUUCCUGACCAGAGGUCCGGCUGCGGGAAAGCUCCCGCUAAGAAAACGGUCCGAAUGAGCGAGUAACCCGGCUGCACCGUUCGAGUCGCCGUUCACGUUCAACCGUCAAUUCUCGUUUCUUUCCAUUUAUUCUGCGGGAACACGCCGUCUUUUCUCGAUGAGCUGCCUUCAGCGAGAUCGUUUACAUAAAUGCAUGCGAUCGCCCGCAACAUGUUUUCGAAACCUGGAGUUGCUGAACUAGUCUGUCUUUAUUUAUUUAUUUAUUUAUUUAUUUAUUUCCCAAUUUGUUUAUCAGUUCUGCGACAGGAAUUUUUUUUCAGUAUUUCCCGAGCUACAUCUGGCCCAUCGGUUAACGAGCCUGAUUUCCACCCCGCAUCAGAGACGUACCGAUGUAUCGGACCAUGAUUAUCGUCCGAUAUCGCUCUGAAUAACUGGUCCUGGCUGAGAGAUUUAGCACCGGCGCAGCUCUACCCUGCAUUCGGAGCCACGGCCUCUGCGGUGAGCAGCAGAACGGUUGCAGAGGUCUCAGGUUCACAUUUUCGCUUUAAAGGAAAUGACGACAGGAAGUGAAGAAGGCAGGAGAAGUGAGAGGUGUCGACAGGCCCCUUUUCAAGAAAGUCACGGCCCCUGAGCCGUCCUGCUGUGUGAACGCACGCUCUGUGUGCGUGUCUCGGUCUGCGUUCGUGUCUGGUGACUCGGUAUGGGGAAACGAGUCCUCGUAGGUGUGUGUUCGUGUAAAUGCGGAGUGCGCGCGGAUGGAAUUGAAAAACGAUGUCGCGUGUGUCUGAACGUUGACCGGGAGGACGUUUUAGAUUUCGUCACCGUAUGACCGUAAACCUUAUUAACGCUCCGGACUCUGCAUUUUCCAGCCACGUUCGACGUCACGUUAACGUGAAAUCCGACGUGGAGAUGCUGGGGCGGACGUCGGACUCGACGACGCGUCCGUGCUCGGGCGGUCGGCGAUCCGCUGGAUGACGAGCUCGCGGCGGAAGCUGAAGGACUAAAGCUGUGCCGCAUCACCAAUAAAAACACCCCCCCAAGACCUGCCGCUCCGGAGACGCUCCGACCCAGACGUCUAGCCGUCACAAUCCGAUCCUCGUCAAAGUCUCUCGGAUCCUUCCGCUUGCGCGUUUUUCCCGCGUCCAACACGUCAACCUCGAGAACUGACCGUUCACUCUCUGCCUAAUAAAUCAAUCCCGCCCCUCCACAGGCGCCGCGGGUAACGAGAUCAUCGACGACAUUCACUUCACCGUCAUGAAGAAAUAUUUGCUUCCGCUGUCCAAAAGAGAAAUGAAAAUAGCGAGCCAUGCUUCUUACGUUUGUGGCAUGUCGUCAGACGCCCUGAUCCAGAGCGACGUACGCUUCUCUCAUUCAUGCACGUGAGCAGUUGAGGGUUAAGGGUCUCGCUCCGGGACCCAGACGGCGUCGCUUAGCAGUGCUGGGGCUUGACCUCCUGACCUCCUGACCUCCUGAUCAGUAACCCAGAGCCUUUAACCACUGAGCCAGCACUGUCCUUUUAAUAAAUAACUUUGUUUUUGUAAAAUAUUGCGAUUUUUUUUUUUUUCUUCCUUUCUGACCGAGUAACUGAACUCUCACGUUGGUGUCAUGU